rnacentral:lncRNA from 1 species
AUGGGCAGAAAUGCCGAAAGGCAGUGGCAGCAGCCCCAGGUAGCCCCUCCGCUGCCUGCAGCCCGGGUCUCCUCUUCCUCCCUUGUGGCUCUCCGCCGAAGCGGCGUCUGCUUCGCUUUGCAAAACGCCCAGAGAGUCGGCUUAAAGCAGGCGGUUCCGCUGGGGACGGUGCUUUGGACCGCUGAGCAGCUCCGCUCGGCUUUAUUUUCGCCUGGGCGACACGGUGCCGUUAGCGCGACGGGCUGCAGAGCCUCUCGCAAAGCUAAGGAGCGGGCAGAGGCCGCCCGAAAGGGGAGGAAAGACGGGAUCCGGCUGCGUCCGGAGGUUCCUCUUCCUUGCGGUCGGGCGGCGCGGGGCGCCGGGGACCUGGCACGGUUUCGGGUCGCCUGCCAGCGCGCUCCUCGGCGCCGAGCCCGGGCUUCGCGGUUUCUGCGUCGGCGGCGCGCGUGCACCCGGCGGCGCGUGUCGGAGCACGUGCGUGGAGUGUCUGUGUUCGGGUCUCAACUCCGACGAGCCGGAUUUAAUCCCGUCGGGGGGGUGUUUUGUGCUGCCGGGGGGUUUAAAGCCGGGGGGAUGCAUGGAGGGAGGGUGGCGGGUACGCUCAGCUCCCGGGGCGGUCGUCGCCAGGCGCACGUUUCCUUUCCUAGCGGACUUAAGAGAAUUAAUGCAAUUUUAUUACGACCCCCCUGCGUUUUGCCCUCCCGAAGGCUGGUUGGCAUCCAAGAAAGACAGGGCAAUGCGAACGUGAAAGUUUGGAGCAGGAAACUUUGUGCGGCGCUUGCAAACACUCUGCUUGGCGUAUCGGGCUGCCCCGUGGCCUUUGGGGGGGGGAAGUGUGGAAAUGAGCCUAAAAGAGCGAGCAAGGGGGGGUUGGCUUGUUUAGUUGGAUUUCCCUCUCGCAGCCACCCAGCCGCAGGGUCCACCCUUUCCCGCAGGCCUCGAGCCCGCUGCUCCAGCCGCGGCGGGGUAGUUUUGUCCCGGCGAUUUUGCCUUUUCCGAGCCUGCUGCUGA